rnacentral:rRNA from 1 species
UACGAAGGGGGCUAGCGUUGCUCGGAAUUACUGGGCGUAAAGGGCGCGUAGGCGGUCAGUUAAGUCAGGGGUGAAAGCCCAGGGCUCAACCCUGGAAUUGCCUUUGAUACUGGCUGUCUUGAGUACGGGAGAGGUGAGUGGAACUCCGAGUGUAGAGGUGAAAUUCGUAGAUAUUAGCAAGAACACCAGUGGCGAAGGCGGCUCACUGGCCCGAUACUGACGCUGAGGCACGAAAGCGUGGGGAGCAAACAGG